rnacentral:rRNA from 1 species
ACGGGUGAGUAACGCGUAUGCAACCUACCUAUCAGAGGGGAAUAACCCGGCGAAAGUCGGACUAAUACCGCAUAAAACAGGGGCACCGCAUGGUGAUAUUUGUUAAAGAAAUUCGCUGAUAGAUGGGCAUGCGUUCCAUUAGGUAGUUGGUGAGGUAACGGCUCACCAAGCCGACGAUGGAUAGGGGAACUGAGAGGUUGGUCCCCCACACUGGUACUGAGACACGGACCAGACUCCUACGGGAGGCAGCAGUGAGGAAUAUUGGUCAAUGGGCGGGAGCCUGAACCAGCCAAGUCGCGUGAAGGAAGAAGGAUCUAUGGUUCGUAAACUUCUUUUGCAGGGGAAUAAAGUGCAGGACGUGUCCUGUUUUGUAUGUACCCUGAGAAUAAGGAUCGGCUAACUCCGUGCCAGCAGCCGC